rnacentral:lncRNA from 1 species
UGGCAAGGGAGUGAGAUAGAUUAGCAUUUAGAGCUCAAAUAUUCAUUCCUGUCAGUCUGAUUGUUAGCAGGGAUUACUUGAGAAGAUAGCAGAGAAAACUCCAACAGGGAAAAGGAUUAGAGGGUUUACUGCAGCUAGACUCCCGCCACCUUUACCUAAUACAUUUGCCAUAAGAAGUCCUAGUCAAUUUCCUUGGAAUUCCAUGUCUAUUGUUUGUGUCUUUCUAGCAGGUCGGGUCAACAGAGCAAGAGAUAGAGAUAGAAGAGAGGAACAAGAAAGAAGGAACUCGCUCUUUCAUAUUUACCAUGUUUCUGCAAAUGUUGCCCCAGCAGGGGCGAUUAGUUCCGGAUAGGAUCAGAGCACUCCCAGAAACACUUUCACCCUCAGAAGUACCAAAAGAAGACUGACUGCGCCUAUCAACAGACUCAUAGGUCUGAAUUGUCGGCGGAGGUCUGAAUUGCUGCUCUACAUUGCCUUUCUUCAAAACCUCUGGCUUCUCAUAAUUCCAAACUGUUGCUUUUGUUUUCCCAGCCCUAGUGGUAGCAAUUAGUUGUUGUAGUUACCAUCUGUAGUACCUUAGUAUAACUAUUUGCUGCAUUACAUCAAUAUCUGUUUAGGUAUUUCUUUAUACUUAAUUCCCUUUGUGGCAGUAUCUACUGUCAUUUAUAUUUUUCCGAGUGCCCUGACUAAUAGAUUUUCUAAAAAUUGAGAACAAAAGCACCAGUCCCCCAAAAAUAUAUAGAAAAAAGAUCUGCAACAAGUCACAGGAGAAGAAAUACAAAUGAUGCUCAAACAUGGGAAAAUACACUUAGCCACAUUCAUAGUAAGGCAUAUGCAAGUUAAAACUGCCAUUCCUUACUUUGGAGUAUUAAAAAUCUGACAUUUUGAAAAUAUAUACUGUCGGUGAGGCUAUGGAUAAAUAGCAUCCUUAUAUAUCUCUGGUAAGCAUGCAACAUGUAAGAACUCCUCCGAAGGAGUUUAGUCAUUUCUAGCAGAAUUAUCUAUCAAUUUUUUCCUUUUGACAAAAAAGAUCCAUUUCUAGCUAUCUAUUGCAAAAUUACUGGCAUAAUAUGAAAUGAAGAAGACACAAAGAUAUUCUCUGCAAUACAGCUGGUAAUAGCAAAAGUCUUGAAACAUGUCACAUGCCCAUAGGAAAACAAUGGAAUAGACUGUGAUACUUCUGAGUAAUACAGUAGUCCCCACUUAUCUACGGUUUAUCUUUCUGUGAUUUUAGUUACCUGCAGUCUGAAAAUAUUAAAUGGAAAAUUCCAGAAAUAAACAAUUCAUAGGUUUUCAAUGUUGUGCCUCUUUGAGUAGCAUGAUGAAAUCUGGGGCAUCCUGCUUUGUCUCACCCAGGACCUACAUUAUUCCUUUAUCCAGCAUUUCAAAGCUGUGGAUGCUACCACCCAUUAAUCACUUAAUAGCAAUCUAGGUUAUCAGAUCGGCUGUUUCAGUAUUCCAGGGCUUAUGCUGGAGUCACCCUUAUUUUCCUUAAUAGCAGCCCCAAAGCAAAAGAGUAGUGAUACAGGCAUAUUGUUAUAAUUGUUCUAUUUUAUUACAUUUGACCCUUGAGCAAUACAGGGGUUAGGGUCGCCAACCUCCUGCACAGUCAAAAAUCCACGUGUUUUGAUUUUCCAAAACCUUAACUACUAAUAGCCUACUCUUGACUGGAACCCUUACCAAAAUAAACAGUUGAUUAACACAUAUUUUGUAUGUUAUAUGUAUUUUAUACUGUGUUCUUACAUAAAUAAGCUAGA